rnacentral:rRNA from 1 species
GAUGAACGCUGGCGGCGUGCCUAAUACAUGCAAGUCGAGCGAAUGGAUUGAGAGCUUGCUCUUAUGAAGUUAGCGGCGGACGGGUGAGUAACACGUGGGUAACCUGCCCAUAAGACUGGGAUAACUCCGGGAAACAGGGGCUAAUACCGGAUAACAUUUUGAACCGCAUGGUUCGAAAUUGAAAGGCGGCUUCGGCUGUAACUUAUGGAUGGACCCGCGUCGCAUUAGCUAGUUGGUGAGGUAACGGAUCACCAAGGCAACGAUGCGUAGCCGACCUGAGAGGGUGAUCGGCCACACUGGGACUGAGACACGGCCCAGACUCCUACGGGAGGCAGCAGUAGGGAAUCUUCCGCAAUGGACGAAAGUCUGACGGAGCAACGCCGCGUGAGUGAUGAAGGCUUUCGGGUCGUAAAACUCUGUUGUUAGGGAAGAACAAGUGCUAGUUGAAUAAGCUGGCACCUUGACGGUACCUAACCAGAAAGCCACGGCUAACUACGUGCCAGCCGCCGCGGUAA